rnacentral:rRNA from 1 species
ACCUGCCCUAUGAUUAAAAAUUAAAUGGCUGCGGUACUUUGACCGUGCAAAGGUAGCAUAAUCAUUAGUUUUUUAAUUGAGAACUGGUAUGAAAGGUCGAACGAGAAAAAGACUGUCUCAAUUUAAUUUAAAUUAGAAUUUUAUUUUUAAGUAAAAAAGCUUAAAUAUAUUUAAAAGACGAGAAGACCCUAUAGAGUUUUAUAUUUAAAUAAUUAUAUAGGAAAUUAAAGGAUUGGUUUUUUUUUAUAAUUAUUAAAAUAUUUGAUUGGGGCGAUUAAAAAAUUGAAUGAACUUUUUUUAAAUUACAACAUUGAUUUAUGAAUAAGUGAUCCAUAUUUAAUGAUUAUAAGAUUA